AUGCCUACAAUUACCAACCACCCAUGCAUGAAUGCCUCAAAUUAUCAGCAUACAAAUUUUUUGUCUCUAAGAAUCAUGUCAAUGAUUUCACAACUUUUUACAGUCUAUGUAUUUUACAAAUCAAUUCAAGCGGUGGCAUUGGUUACAAAUUUUCUUUUUUUUUUAUGUAUAUUUCUGAAUGUUAAGAACAUCCAUAGCCUUUGUUAUGCCCUUGUUUGGCAAAUUUUACUCCAUUUUUGCCAUGGCAAAAAUACUUCUAUUCACAUGGCAAAUUUUACUUUAAGUUGCCAUGGCAAAUUUAUUGUAAAGAGCAUGGCAAUUUUGUUUUAA
rnacentral:rRNA from 1 species